GUGGGACGGUGUGUGUGUGGGAGGAGUUUCAGCAGCGUACAGAUAAAUUCAGCCAAUGUAUUUGAGUACAUUAAACUUUACUUAUUGGACUAUUUAUCAGACUAUAAAGCACUGUCAGGACAGGAUUAGUUUCUCAGGGGGUCCUGGGGAAAUUUUCUCUUUUAUUUGGGAGUCCUCUGUCCAGAACGACCAUGUACAUGUUUUUCUCAGACGUCCUCUGAGAUAAAAAUUACAGGCUGAAUUAUCUAUAUCUAUGUAUCUGUUUUUUUCUGAACUCCCUGGUCCUCCAGUAAUUUUAUUCCCGUCCGGAUCCUCCACUCUGAGUUUGUCUCCUCACGUUUAAUAAAAUAGCUAUUUGUCCACUGCUGCACACCGUAAUUAUACUUUGGGCGUGCAUUCCCACGGAGAUCCACGUAAACAUCAACAACAGUGAGUGGAAAUGGAGGAGCUACUGAACGCGAUGUCAUGUGACCGAGAAAAAAGCCUAAAAAACACUGAACAGUGCAGGUCCAGUGUAAUUGGUAGGUUUUGAGAGGCGUGUGAACAGUGCAGGUCCAGUGUAAUUGGUAGAUUUUGAGAGGCGUGUGAACAGUGCAGGUCCAGUGUAAUUGGUAGAUUUUGAGAGGCGUGUGAACAGUGCAGGUCCAGUGUAAUUGGUAGGUUUUGAGAGGCGUGUGAACAGUGCAGGUCCAGUGUAAUUGGUAGGUUUUGAGAGGCGUGUGAACAGUGCAGGUCCAGUGUAAUUGGUAGAUUUUGAGAGGCGUGUGAACAGUGCAGGUCCAGUGUAAUUGGUAGGUUUUGAGAGAAGGGUGAACAGUGCAGGUCCAGUGUAAUUGGUAGAUUUUGAGAGGCAUGUGAACAGUGCAGGUCCAGUGUAAUUGGUAGAUUUUGAGAGGCAUGUGAACAGUGCAGGUCCAGUGUAAUUGGUAGAUUUUGAGAGGCAUGUGAACAGUGCAGGUCCAGUGUAAUUGGUAGGUUUUGAGAGGCGUGUGAACAGUGCAGGUCCAGUGUAAUUGGUAGGUUUUGAGAGGCGUGUGAACAGUGCAGGUCCAGUGUAAUUGGUAGGUUUUGAGAGGUGUGUGAACAGUGCAGGUCCAGUGUAAUUGGUAGGUUUUGAGAGGCGUGUGAACAGUGCAGGUCCAGUGUAAUUGGUAGAUUUUGAGAGGCGUGUGAACAGUGCAGGUCCAGUGUAAUUGGUAGGUUUUGAGAGAAGGGUGAACAGUGCAGGUCCAGUGUAAUUGGUAGAUUUUGAGAGGCAUGUGAACAGUGCAGGUCCAGUGUAAUUGGUAGAUUUUGAGAGGCAUGUGAACAGUGCAGGUCCAGUGUAAUUGGUAGAUUUUGAGAGGCAUGUGAACAGUGCAGGUCCAGUGUAAUUGGUAGAUUUUGAGAGGCAUGUGAACAGUGCAGGUCCAGUGUAAUUGGUAGAUUUUGAGAGACGUGAGAACAGUGCAGGUCCAGUGUAAUUGGUAGGUUUUGAGAGGCGUGUGAACAGUGCAGGUCCAGUGUAAUUGGUAGAUUUUGAGAGGCGUGUGAACAGUGCAGGUCCAGUGUAAUUGGUAGAUUUUGAGAGGCAUGUGAACAGUGCAGGUUCAGUGUAAUUGGUAGAUUUUGAGAGGCGUGUGAACAGUGCAGGUCCAGUGUAAUUGGUAGGUUUUGAGAGGUGUGUGAACAGUGCAGGUCCAGUGUAAUUGGUAGGUUUUGAGAGGCGUGUGAACAGUGCAGGUCCAGUGUAAUUGGUAGAUUUUGAGAGGCGUGUGAAUGGAGAACUGGAGAAGCGAGAGAACAGACGGCCAGAUGUAGAGAGGAGACAGACGGAGGAAGAGAGAGACAGGAACUGGCUGUGCCUGACGACUGUCCUGCAGCUGUUGAUGUGCCAUGUGGAUUUGCUGAGGAUGCUGGGAUUGUUGUGGUGGUCUCACUCUCCCCACCAGUUUCUCUUUUUUCUUUCUGUUUUGAAGCUUCUUUCUGUUUUUCUUCUGGGUCGACUGUUAUUCUGCACCGGCUUGUCCUUAUUUACCCUGGUGAUUUCUGAUCUCUCUCUCUCUCUCUCUCUCUCUCUCUCUCUUCCUGACUCUCUGUUUCUCUUUCUGUGAUUCUCUAUUACUAUCUGUCUCUCUCCCCCUUUCAUUCUUUCUGUCUGUCUAUCGCUCUCUUACUAUCGGUCUCUCUCUCUUACUCUCCCUCUGUCUGUAUUUCUCUCUCUUACUCUCUUUCUUUCUUUCUUUCUUUCUUUCUUUCUCUCUCUCUCUCUCAUCUCUCUUACUUUCUGCCUCUCUGCCUCUCUCACUAUCUGUCUUCCUCUUUCUCUCUUUCUCUCUCUCUUUCUUUUUCUUACUAUCUGUCUCUCUCUCCCUCUG